rnacentral:lncRNA from 1 species
AUAGAAUCAACACGUUUAACUUUCACGGCUGGUUUGACUUUGGAGAAGAGCCAGGAAUUGCAUAAUGCCAGAUGUGGUAACUGAGGACAUUUUAUCUGCUUUUUCAUCUUAUUAUCACAUCAAUCAGAAGCCUGUACCAUAGCUGAAAAAUAUAUCAGAAGACACAGACCAUAAAAGAUGAAUUUGUAGCAAAGCACACUGCAAUGAGGGAGACAAAACUAAAGAGCUAUUCCAGCCUGUGACAUCUGUAGCUUCAGAAAAUAGUAAGCACAGUAGAAUUAUUAUUCAGAUAAAAAUAAUACCUGGC